CGCUGAGAAAGCGGAGCUGAGAUUGUAGGAAAUUCCGAGUUACAUUUUCCAGCCUCUCGGGCCAGAAGUCUCCACUACGUCCUGGGAAACAUAUAUCAAAUGGAGUUGAAGAGAAAAAGGGAGUGAGCAACCAAGUGAUUGAGCCCACAGGAAAUGAUGGAGACCUCAGAGAUCAUCUGGGAACACCCUCCUCCUCUGGGGAACUACCCAGAACUCUGACCCGGAAGAACGAGGCUGUUGAACACAGGACAGAUCAGUGUGGGUGUUCAGGACGAAGACAUGAACUUUGCAGGACCUAUAGUCGCAUUGGAGCAGCAACUCCUCGCCAGAGUUGAGGCACUUCAUCUCUCAUUGCUGAUCCCGUCUUCACAGCAUCAUGCUGAUGACCAUUCAUGGCUUAAAGUGCUUUCCAGGUGCAUUUCUGCAGCAUGAUAAACCACCUUGGUCUGCUGAACACAUUUCUUGGUUUUACAUCCUAACAAAAGCAAGG